rnacentral:ncRNA from 1 species
UCGAUAUUUAAUUAUAGUAUUUUGUAUAUGUAUAUAUUUAGAAUUUAUACGAAUUUUGAUUUAGAUUUAUUUUAUAGUAGUUUAUAGUUUUAAUUAUUAAAUAAUUUUAGAAUUAGUAAUAUAUUUAGUAUUUGCUAAUUUUGUGCCAGCAGCAGCGGUUAAACAGAAAAUGCAAUAUAUAUUUUUUAGUUAUUAAUUAAUAGAAAAUUUUAAAAAUUAUAAAUUGAAUUUUAAGGUGAAAUUUAAAUUUAAUAUUAUUUUUAUUUUUAUUUUAUGAAGUUAAGAAAUUUUUUUUUAAACUAGGAUUAGAUACCCUAUUAUUUAAAAUGUAAGAUAUGAAACUAAGUGAUUAAUAGUUAAGUUCUUUAAAGCUAAAUAAUUUGGCGGUAUUUUAAACUUUUCAGAGGAACCUGUUCUGUAAAUGAUAAUCCACGCUUGAAUGAACUUAAAUUAGAAAUUUUUAUAUCGUCGUUAUUAAACAUUUUUAAAGAAUUUAAUGUUUAAAAUUUUUUAUUAGAGAGUAAAUCAGAUCAAGGUGAAGUUUAUAUUUAAGAAGAAAUGGGUUACAGUAUAUUUUAUUUUUGGAUUUUAAAUUUGAAAAAUUUUAUGAAAUUGGAUUUGAAAGUAAUUAGUUAUACUUUUUUCUAAUGAUUAAGCACUAAAAUAUGUACAUAUUGCCCGUCGCUUUCACUUAAUAUGGAAUAAGUCGUAACAUAGUAGAUUUACUGGAAAGUGUAUCUAGAAGGAU